rnacentral:rRNA from 1 species
CGACGAUCAGUAGCCGACCUGAGAGGGUGAACGGCCACAUUGGGACUGAGAUACGGCCCAGACUCCUACGGGAGGCAGCAGUCGGGAAUAUUGCGCAAUGGAGGAAACUCUGACGCAGUGACGCCGCGUGCAGGAAGAAGGUUUUCGGAUUGUAAACUGCUUUAGACAGGGAAGAAAGAAAUGACAGUACCUGUAGAAUAAGCUCCGGCUAACUGC